rnacentral:misc_RNA from 1 species
UAUGUAGUUAGAUCCAACACAACAACCUCACAUGAUCUUGAGGACCCAAGUGAGAUUCUUGGAAGUUGAUAAACCCCAUUUGAGAUUUUUGAAUUUGCCUAGUUGUAAUUCAACUCCAAAAUUGAAAGCCUGGAAGGGACCAAUGACCCUGACCAAGGAAGUGGUGGAUGAAAAAGAGAUGAGUGCUGUCACUGAACAUGAAUCGAAUGAAUUCACUACGUUGAAACAUAGAUUUUUGAAUUUCAAGAAGGACAAAUAUUUGAAAAAUUUGGAGCAUUAUCAGAGUCUUGCAGACGAACAAUCACCAAAAUUUUUGGUAAUCUCUUGUGCAGACUCUCGGGUGUGUCCCUCAAACAUACUGGGAUUUCAACCAGGAGAAGCCUUUAUAGUCCGCAAUAUCGCAAAUUUGGUGCCUCCUUAUGAGACUGAUCCUUCAGAAGUAAAGGCAGCUCUUGAGUUUUCCGUUAAUACUCUCAAAGUCGAAAACAUAUUAAUCAUUGGUCAUAGUCGCUGUGGAGGCAUUCGUGCUUUAAUGAGCAUGGAUGAUGAAACAAAUUCAAGCUUCAUUCGGAGUUGGGUAAUUAAUGGAAAAGCUGCCAAGACAAGAACAAAAGCUGUUGCUUCCAACCUCAGCUUUGACCAUCAAUGCAAGCACUGCGAGAAGGAAUCGAUCAACUGCUCAUUGAUGAAUUUGCUUACAUACCCAUGGAUUAAGGAGAAGGUGAAUAAAG